GCGCGAAUAGUGUAGCGGUUAGCAUACAUGCUUCCCAAGCAUGUGACCCGGGUUCGAGUCCCGGUUCGCGCA
rfam:Drechmeria coniospora strain ARSEF 6962 chromosome 02, whole genome shotgun sequence.